ensembl:snoRNA SNORA71 Small nucleolar RNA SNORA71
CCCUGUAUCGAAUGUGACUGUGGUGACUGGUUGCCAGGUCAUUGAAACUGCAGGUAGAUUGAGCUGAAAGUCUUUCCCGUGUUUGCUAGACAACAUGUUCUUGACAAACCCUGUAUCUUUCAGACA